UACGGGGGGGGCAAGCGUUAAUCGGAAUUACUGGGCGUAAAGCGUGCGCAGGCGGUUUUGUAAGCCAGAUGUGAAAUCCCCGGGCUUAACCUGGGAAUGGCAUUUGGGACUGCAAGGCUCGAGUGCGGCAGAGGAGACUGGAAUUCCUGGUGUAGCAGUGAAAUGCGUAGAUAUCAGGAGGAAUACCGAUGGCGAAGGCAGGUCUCUGGGCUGACACUGACGCUCAUGCACGAAAGCGUGGGGAGCAAACGGG
rnacentral:rRNA from 1 species